rfam:Streptomyces violaceusniger Tu 4113, complete genome.
CUUGAUCGAGCCGAGCCACAGCGGCCCGACCUCCGGCCUGCCCUGGCCGUACGUGGCCAGCAGCGCCUGCGCCUC